GGGUUGUGAGGUUAAGCGACUAAGCGUACACGGUGGAUGCCCUGGCAGUCAGAGGCGAUGAAGGACGUGCUAAUCUGCGAAAAGCGUCGGUAAGGUGAUAUGAACCGUUACAGCCGGCGAUGUCCGAAUGGGGAAACCCAGUGCAAUUCGUUGCACUAUCGUUAACUGAAUACAUAGGUUAACGAGGCGAACCGGGGGAACUGAAACAUCUAAGUACCCCGAGGAAAAGAAAUCAACCGAGAUUCCCCCAGUAGCGGCGAGCGAACGGGGAGCAGCCCAGAGUCUGAAUCAGCUUGUGUGUUAGUGGAACGGUCUGGAAAGUCCGACGGUACAGGGUGAUAGUCCCGUACACCAAAAUGCACAGGCUGUGAACUCGAAGAGUAGGGCGGGACACGUGGUAUCCUGUCUGAAUAUGGGGGGACCAUCCUCCAAGGCUAAAUACUCCUGACUGACCGAUAGUGAACCAGUACCGUGAGGGAAAGGCGAAAAGAACCCCGGCGAGGGGAGUGAAAAAGAACCUGAAACCGUGUACGUACAAGCAGUGGGAGCACCUUCGGGUGUGACUGCGUACCUUUUGUAUAAUGGGUCAGCGACUUAUAUUCUGUAGCAAGGUUAACCGUAUAGGGGAGCCGCAGGGAAACCGAGUCUUAACUGGGCGUUAAGUUGCAGGGUAUAGACCCGAAACCCGGUGAUCUAGCCAUGGGCAGGUUGAAGGUUGGGUAACACUAACUGGAGGACCGAACCGACUAAUGUUGAAAAAUUAGCGGAUGACUUGUGGCUGGGGGUGAAAGGCCAAUCAAACCGGGAGAUAGCUGGUUCUCCCCGAAAGCUAUUUAGGUAGCGCCUCGUGAAUUCAUCUUCGGGGGUAGAGCACUGUUUCGGCUAGGGGGUCAUCCCGACUUACCAACCCGAUGCAAACUACGAAUACCGAAGAAUGUUAUCACGGGAGACACACGGCGGGUGCUAACGUCCGUCGUGAAGAGGGGAAACAACCCAGACCGCCAGCUAAGGUCCCAAAGUCAUGGUUAAGUGGGAAACGAUGUGGGAAGGCACAGACAGCCAGGAUGUUGGCUUAGAAGCAGCCAUCAUUUAAAGAAAGCGUAAUAGCUCACUGGUCGAGUCGGCCUGCGCGGAAGAUGUAACGGGGCUAAACCAUGCACCGAAGCUGCGGCAGCGACACUAUGUGUUGUUGGGUAGGGGAGCGUUCUGUAAGCCUGCGAAGGUGACCUGUGAGGGUUGCUGGAGGUAUCAGAAGUGCGAAUGCUGACAUAAGUAACGAUAAAGCGGGUGAAAAGCCCGCUCGCCGGAAGACCAAGGGUUCCUGUCCAACGUUAAUCGGGGCAGGGUGAGUCGACCCCUAAGGCGAGGCCGAAAGGCGUAGUCGAUGGGAAACAGGUUAAUAUUCCUGUACUUGGUGUUACUGCGAAGGGGGGACGGAGAAGGCUAUGUUAGCCGGGCGACGGUUGUCCCGGUUUAAGCAUGUAGGCUGGUUAUCCAGGCAAAUCCGGAUAAUCAAGGCUGAGGUGUGAUGACGAGGCACUACGGUGCUGAAGUAACAAAUGCCCUGCUUCCAGGAAAAGCCUCUAAGCAUCAGGUAACAUCAAAUCGUACCCCAAACCGACACAGGUGGUCAGGUAGAGAAUACCAAGGCGCUUGAGAGAACUCGGGUGAAGGAACUAGGCAAAAUGGUGCCGUAACUUCGGGAGAAGGCACGCUGGUGUGUAGGUGAAGUCCCUGCGGAUGGAGCUGAGACCAGUCGAAGAUACCAGCUGGCUGCAACUGUUUAUUAAAAACACAGCACUGUGCAAACACGAAAGUGGACGUAUACGGUGUGACGCCUGCCCGGUGCCGGAAGGUUAAUUGAUGGGGUUAUCCGUAAGGAGAAGCUCUUGAUCGAAGCCCCGGUAAACGGCGGCCGUAACUAUAACGGUCCUAAGGUAGCGAAAUUCCUUGUCGGGUAAGUUCCGACCUGCACGAAUGGCGUAAUGAUGGCCAGGCUGUCUCCACCCGAGACUCAGUGAAAUUGAACUCGCUGUGAAGAUGCAGUGUACCCGCGGCAAGACGGAAAGACCCCGUGAACCUUUACUAUAGCUUGACACUGAACAUUGAGCCUUGAUGUGUAGGAUAGGUGGGAGGCUUUGAAGCGUGGACGCCAGUCUGCGUGGAGCCAACCUUGAAAUACCACCCUUUAAUGUUUGAUGUUCUAACGUUGGCCCUUACCGGGGUUGCGGACAGUGUCUGGUGGGUAGUUUGACUGGGGCGGUCUCCUCCCAAAGCGUAACGGAGGAGCACGAAGGUUAGCUAAUCCUGGUCGGACAUCAGGAGGUUAGUGCAAUGGCAUAAGCUAGCUUGACUGCGAGCGUGACGGCGCGAGCAGGUGCGAAAGCAGGUCAUAGUGAUCCGGUGGUUCUGAAUGGAAGGGCCAUCGCUCAACGGAUAAAAGGUACUCCGGGGAUAACAGGCUGAUACCGCCCAAGAGUUCAUAUCGACGGCGGUGUUUGGCACCUCGAUGUCGGCUCAUCACAUCCUGGGGCUGAAGUAGGUCCCAAGGGUAUGGCUGUUCGCCAUUUAAAGUGGUACGCGAGCUGGGUUUAGAACGUCGUGAGACAGUUCGGUCCCUAUCUGCCGUGGGCGCUGGAGAAUUGAGGGGGGCUGCUCCUAGUACGAGAGGACCGGAGUGGACGCAUCACUGGUGUUCGGGUUGUCAUGCCAAUGGCACUGCCCGGUAGCUAAAUGCGGAAGAGAUAAGUGCUGAAAGCAUCUAAGCACGAAACUUGCCCCGAGAUGAGUUCUCCCUGAGACUUUAAGUCUCCUGAAGGAACGUUAAAGACGAUGACGUUGAUAGGCCGGGUGUGUAAGCGCAGCGAUGCGUUGAGCUAACCGGUACUAAUGAACCGUGAGGCUUAACCUUACAACGCCGAAG
rnacentral:rRNA from 1 species